rnacentral:rRNA from 1 species
UGGGGAAUAUUGCGCAAUGGGGGGAACCCUGACGCAGCCAUGCCGCGUGAAUGAAGAAGGCCUUAGGGUUGUAAAGUUCUUUCGGUAUUGAGGAAGGUUGAUGUGUUAAUAGCACAUCAAAUUGACGUUAAAUACAGAAGAAGCACCGGCUAACUCCGUGCCAGCAGCCGCGGUAAUACGGAGGGUGCGAGCGUUAAUCGGAAUAACUGGGCGUAAAGGGCACGCAGGCGGUUAUUUAAGUGAGGUGUGAAAGCCCCGGGCUUAACCCGGGAAUUGCAUUUCAGACUGGGUAACUAGAGUACUUUAGGGAGGGGUAGAAUUCCACGUGUAGCGGUGAAAUGCGUAGAGAUGUGGAGGAAUACCGAAGGCGAAGGCAGCCCCUUGGGAAUGUACUGACGCUCAUGUGCGAAAGCGUGGGGAGCAAACAGGAUUAGAUACCCUGGUAGUCCACGCUGUAAACGCUGUCGAUUUGGGGGUUGGGGUUUAACUCUGGCGCCCGUAGCUAACGUGAUAAAUCGACCGCCUGGGGAGUACGGCCGCAAGGUUA